AUACUUUGGCAGCACAUAUACUAAAAUUGGAAUGAUACAGAGAAGAUUAACAUGGCCCCUGCUCAAGGAUGACACACAAAUUUGUGAAGCGUUCCAUAUUUAA
rnacentral:snRNA from 1 species